rnacentral:rRNA from 1 species
AUGCUUGCCAUCGUGACCGGCGGCGCCACAAGGACGGCAGGCGAGCACGAUGGUGCCUCGGGGCCGGAGCCGCUACCGUGGAGGUACAGGGAUUGCAUGCGGAACCACGCCGUGCGGAUGGGCGCGCACGUGCUCGAAGGCUGCGGCGAGUUCAUGCCGUCCCCGGGCGACGGCCCCGCAGCGCUGUCCUGCACCACGUGCGGCUGCCACCUCAGCUUCCACCGGCGUGAGCCAAUGGUGGUGGUCCCCUCUCCCUCGCCGUUACCCGCCUCCGCCAUGGUGUCCCCCUUCGCGACCCUAGCCGACGCCAACUCCCGGCUCAUGCCGCUCCUCCUCGCCCUGCCGCACAUGCAGCAGAAGCGCCCGGCCGUCCCGGCAUCCCCGAUGUUCGCGCCCGCCGCCGCCCCCUCCGCCCCAGGCGCAGGAGGCCCUAAUUGCAUAAGUUCCAGCUUCAAGAUCGAGAUUACCUCAUUCAUGGCAGCCACACCAUCUCUUUCUGCCUCUAGUAGAGCCUCGAGAACUAUAAUAUCUGUGCUCAGACUGCGCUCCGCCGGUGUUGCCUCUGAACUGCUACCAUCUGGUAACAUGGAUGGCGCACUGCUUCCACAAAUAGAUUAUGGGGUUGUACAUUGUGUCCUAGUGUGA